CUGGAUUUGAAUGGCACUGAGGGGCGCUUGUUGUAUAAACAGGCCAUGCACUCCACAGAGGAAGCUCAGACGGCUAACCAAAUGUGAGAUACUCAGCCUCACUAAAAUGUACAGAAAGGCAGGUUAAAGGCUGAAACCAAUUGCCCAGUAUCAAUGAUGAUUAUCUCUGGAGACUGGACACCUGCAGGCUGGUGGGGGUUCAUCGCAUCUGAAGAUUCUCUGAGCUUGCAAAGUGGUGGGCACCGUCUAGGCAGCCGGGCCUGGGAAGAGCAGACACAGAAGGCCAACCGGCUCCUCUCCGAGGCGUGGGCCACCUGCACCAGAGCAGAAUUCCGCCCUCUUUCGCAUCUCCCGUGUGCAGUCUGCCUUCCAUCACAGGAUGACACAGCAAGAAGGCCCUCACCGAUGCCUCUG